UAAGAAAACAAUUUUUUAAUACAAAGUGCCUUUUACUGGCGGAAUCAUUACCAACACAUUUAAAUUAUUUUUUGAAGUUCUUCUCAGUCUUCUCAUUUAUCAAUUUAACAGUAUUGCCUAAAUUGUUAAAACUUCAACAUGCGGAUGGUCAAGUUAAAACUUAAUGAUCGUGGACUUUCCAACUUUUACAAGCUCUACAAUGCUGUAACCAAAGCAGAGCAUUUUACAGAGAACGAUUUCCAGAAAAACCAUUUUAAAAACUCAGCUCACAAUUUGUAUAGUUCGUAUGAGCACAUUAAUUUAAGCAGUUUUGACGAAGCGAUCGACGAUUCUGAAGAAAAUUAUAGUUAUUUUUCUAAAACGUUUUUACAACCACGUUUUCUGACUCGGCUGCCGUCUAAUUUAUCAACCCAUUCGGGUGAAAAGCUAGAAGUUGUAUGUUUAGCAAACGUGCUAUUUCCAUCCGAUAUUGAAUGGUUUUUAAAUGAUGUGUUGCUAACUAGUUCAACCGAUGACAGAAUAAUUAUAGAAAAUAACUCCAGUAAACUAACCAUAUCAUCAGUUAAAAAAACUGAUUGUGGAAAAUUAGCUUGUAUUGCUAAAAACAGGUUUGGUUCAGACAUUUCAAUCUGCAAAAUAUCUGUAGAAGAUCUUAAGUAAGAACAUUGCGUUAGCCUAUUAUUAAUUUGCUUGGUUUCAAUGAGUUAAAAAAAAAAUUAAUAUAAGUACUUGUAUAUGAAGAAUGUAAAAAUGACAGAAAAUUGUGUUUAACAUAGGUAAAA
rnacentral:lncRNA from 1 species